rnacentral:rRNA from 1 species
AUUGAACGCUGGCGGCAUGCCUUACACAUGCAAGUCGAACGGUAACAGGUUAAGCUGACGAGUGGCGAACGGGUGAGUAAUACAUCGGAACGUGCCCAGUAGUGGGGGAUAGCCCGGCGAAAGCCGGAUUAGUACCGCAUACGACCUACGGGUGAAAGGGGGGGAUCGCAAGACCUCUCGCUAUUGGAGCGGCCGAUGUCAGAUUAGGUAGUUGGUGGGGUAAAGGCCUACCAAGCCUACGAUCUGUAGCUGGUCUGAGAGGACGACCAGCCACACUGGGACUGAGACACGGCCCAGACGCCUACGGGAGGCAGCAGUGGGGAAUUUUGGACAAUGGGCGCAAGCCUGAUCCAGCCAUGCCGCGUGCGGGAAGAAGGCCUUCGGGUUGUAAACCGCUUUUGUCAGGGAAGAAACGCUUCGGAAUAAUACUCUGAGGUAAUGACGGUACCUGAAGAAUAAGCACCGGCUAACUACGUGCCAGCCGCCGCCGUAACAC